GUGAAAGAUCUGGCUGUGGUGGUGUAAUAAGCGUUGAUGUCGUUGCAGUUGUAUGAUAUUGUUGGUGAUGGUGAUGGUGAUGAUGACGACGACGACGAUGAAGAUGUUUGAAAAAGAGAUGAGAAGCUUGAAACAGCAGCUUGGUGAGUUUUUAUUUGAGAUUGUUGAUUGACUAUGCCUAUGAGUUUCUUCUUGAGUUUGGUGUUCCAGUAGUUCUUGAUAUCAUUGUCAGUCCUGCCUGGCAACUGAGCAGCUAUAGUUGACCACCUGCAAUUUUUGUGUAACAAGAAAUCUAAAACUGAGAUUUAAACUUAAUUCCCAGGCAUACAAUUUCAUAUAAAAAUAAAGCCCCAAAAAAGAAAAGGAAAGUAAAAUUAGUAGCCUAUUUUUGAAGCGUGAAACAUGGGAAGCUUGCUCUUUUUGUGUUAAUUCGUUGUUUCCAUCUCCGUACAUAAAAUUCAUACAGCCCACCCAGAAAAAGAGAGGAAAAUUAAUUAAAGGAAAUUAAUGAGGUAAAAGAGAAAAAUUAAAAAAUUAAAAAGGGAAAAUUGAAAAAAAAAAAAAGAAGAGAAAUAUACCUGCUCCCAAUGCUGGCAAAGAGGCUGCAAAUAAUUCUAUCUUCAUCAUCAGAGAAUUCACCGUGAUUGAUGUUGGGUCUCAGAUAGUUAAGCCAUCUCAAUCUGCAGCUUUUCCCACAUCUCAUCAGACCUGAUUAAUCAAACAAACCAGAUCCGUUAUAUUAAUUAAGAUGAUUAAAAACAAAUAGGAAGAAAACGAAAAAUAUAAACAAUAGUAAUCACCAGCUUUAUGGGGAAGAGCAAUCCAGUUCCCUCCUGUUCCAUUUUUCUCUAUAUACUCCUUCAGCUUUGCAUCUUCUUCAGGAGACCACGGCCCUUUCUUUACAUUUGCUUUGUCACAGCAAGGAGCCCUGCCCAUUUCUCUUUAUUUUUCUUACAAAGAGAAAUGAUUGGUUUGUUUGUUUGGAAGCAGAAAUCUUGAUAUUUGGAGACUAGGGAUGCAUUUAUGUAUUGCAACAAUUAAUUAACAAAAGAGUCAAAGGACAGGCUAGCUUCUCUUAUUUUCUAUAUGAACAUUAAAGAGUAGUAUAGUUUUCUUGCAAAUCUUGUUUAUGCAUUUGAAAAUGAUGUGCUAUAAUUUUCAAUCAUAUAUAGGCCAGGUCAUAGAGUACCAUACUCAGGACUUUGCAAAGACUCAAUAUAAUACAACGAAUGCUACCUCAGCCGGUCUAACUUUACUAUUAACACUAUAAAGAUAUUGAGUGCCAAUUGUUAAGCUUAUAUAUAUAUAUAUAUAUAUGCUCAUGUUCCACAUCUACUUCAUAACUUCCUCGAAACAUUUCUCGGCUGAAAUCAAAAUGAAUAUCAUUAUUUUGUCAUACUUUGAUUGAUUGAUAAGGGUGGGGUUAUUUGUACUCUAAAAAACACUUUGAAUACUCUUUAUUUCCAAAUAUAUUUUAUUACAAAAAUACCCUUUCAUGAAAUUACUCAAAAGGAUAUUCACUUUACUUAAAAAAAAAAAUACUUUACACAACCAUUUAUUAUAAAUCCUAAAUUUUUAUUUCCUUCAUCAAUUCAUCAUCUGAAACUCAUGGAAGAUAUAAAACACACACGCUUUGAGAAGGAAGCAACAAAACUCACGUGUAGCAAGCCUCCUUUCUCCCUCACGAGCCAGCUGGGGUCUCUCUCUCUCGUCUUCACACUAUUAAUAGUCUUAGCUCCGUUCUCCCUUGCCAUGCAGUAAUACUGAGAUUUCUCUCUUGUCUCAAUUGCCCUAAUUUAAAUCUUUAAAUUGUUUAGGACAAUUUGUUGAACUACAGAUGGAUGGUGGUCUUGUGCUUGGGUAUUGUAAAUUGGAAUCAAAUUAUACAACCCCUGAUGCCCUUUGGGAAUCAUGUUUAUUUCAAGGUUUCAUGUUGUGAUUUGAUUGCUUGAUGAAGCAUAUGGAUACUGUAGUUUGCUCCCUCAAAUUAUUCUACUUUGUUGAAUAAACUAUAUUGCCCAUUAUUUGAAUAGAAUUAAAAAAAAAAUUACAGCCCCUAACAUUGAGCUAAUGCUAUAAUUUACACGUCUCCCUCUUUUAUAGCACAUUUUUUUUCAUAAUUUAUGUUGUUUCCAAUCAGUCAAUAUGAAAUAUAUUCAUUUUGUAGGAAUAAAGAAGUUAUGUCAUUUGAUAGUGAGACUAAAAUGUUUAGUUAUUACAGAGAUUAUGGUAAAAAAAAAAGAGUUUCCAGUUUUGCGGAGAAGUAGUAAUGAGGGUAAUGAUGGGAAAAUAAGACAUGUGAGUUAUGCUUGUGGGCGAAGCGGUGCAAUAAGAAGCAAAUCUACUAAUCUUCUCAGGCCCCAACCUAAAGGAAAAGUAGGUUCCAAUGCUAAAUUGGGAGGGGGUUUAGAAGAAGAUGGAAAGUAGAGGAUUUGAGUUUUAAAUCUUGAACACAAUCUUACAUUGUUGACUCCAACCAAGUCUAAGUUUUCCCGUGCAAUCGUAGCCUCAGUUCAGAAGCAAAAAAAAAAAACUUGAUGUAAAUGCUAUAGCAGGAAUUAGAUUAUCCCAAAAUUAUCAAUAAGUUGUUAUUAAGGCUGGUGGCCGUGAAAAUGAGACAGUCAUAGAAAGAGAUUGUAGAAAUUAUGUCCAGAAAGAAAGACGACUACUACUUGGAGAUGGAGAUGCCACUCAUCUUCAAAACUAUUUUAUAAAAAUAAAAUCAAAAGACAAUAGGUUUUUCUUUAGUAUGAAAGUGGAUGAUAAGAGUUGAUAAAAAAUGUAUUUUAGGCUGAGCCAAGAGGUAGGGAAGCUCUUCUUUUGCGACGAUACUUUUGUGACGACAUAAUUUUUGUCGUAGAAUGUCACUUUCUAGGACCAUAGGUGAUCUUGUCGCUAAAUGUCUUGUUUUUUCGUCACAAAAAAUAAAUUCAUCACAUAAGCUCACUUUUUGCAUUUAUCAAACAAAUUUAUUUGUAAUUUAUUUGAAACCAAAAACAUUUUCAUUGCAGAUUCUAUACUUUCAAUGACCACUUCAAGAUUUCGUCACAAAAAAAGAAAGUGAUAAAAUUAAUAUGUAACUUUUUUUGGGGACAAAACCAAAUUUUCGUCCCAAAUAUCUACUUGUUGCGACCCCUUUCAAAUUGUCGUAAACAGUCAAAAUAUUUUGGCAGGAAUUCUACCGUCAAGCAAAUUAUAAAAGAUAUAAAUGAACUAUUGUAGCGACAAAACAUUAUUUGGUCAUUAAAAAUAAAAUAUUUUGUCAGAAAUUGAACCGCCUUACAUAAUUAAACUCAAUUUGAACAAAUAUUUGCGACCAAAUUUAAACGUGGUUGCAAAAGACAAGCAUGUUAUAUAUAUUUGUAUUAUUCUUCUCUAUUUCAUUUUUAUCUAUAAGUUCUCUCACUCUUAUAAUUAUUAUUCUCUUGUUCUCACUCUAUCUUCCUAGCUUAUUUUCCUUACAAACUAUUUAAAUGUUUUGUUACAUAAUUUUAUUUAAUUAUCAUGUGUAGAAGUUAACUAACCCUUGUGCUUUGUAUUUUUUUGGUAGAAAUUAAAUAUUGAAGAUCAUACACAAAGAGGUGAAGAAAAUCAAUAAAUUUAUGAAUAAAUAUAAUUGUUCCAAACAUUACAAUGUUAUUUGAAGAUCAUUAUGUAAUUGUUCCAGAUGUUACAAUUAUGUAAUUUCUUCUAAAUAAUAUAAUUUCAUUUGCUAAAAUUUUGUGUAUUUUUUUAUCAAUAAUAAAAUUUUA
rnacentral:lncRNA from 1 species